CCUACGGGUGGCAGCAGUGAGGAAUAUUGGUCAAUGGGCGCGAGCCUGAACCAGCCAAGUCGCGUGAGGGAAGACGGCCCUACGGGUUGUAAACCUCUUUUGCCGGGGAGCAACGGGCGCCACGUGUGGCGCCACUGAGAGUACCCGGAGAAAAAGCAUCGGCUAACCCCGUGCCAGCAGCCGCGGUAAUACGGAGGCUGCGAGCUUUAUCCGGAUUUAUUGGGUUAAAAGGGUGCGUAGCCGGAGCGUUAAGUCAGUGGUCAAAUUGAGGGUCUAAACCCCUUCCCGCCAUUGAAACUGGCGCUCUUGAGUGGAAGAGAAGUAUGCGGAAUGCGUGGUGUAGCGGUGAAAUGCUUAGAUAUCACGCAGAACCCCGAUUGCGAAGGCAGCAUGCCGGCUUCCGACUGACGCUGAAGCACGAAGGCGUGGGGAUCGAACAGGAUUAGAUACCCGAGUAGUC
rnacentral:rRNA from 1 species